rnacentral:rRNA from 1 species
GUAGGUGGCAAGCGUUGUCCGGAAUUAUUGGGCGUAAAGCGCGCGCAGGCGGUCCUUUAAGUCUGAUGUGAAAGCCCACGGCUCAACCGUGGAGGGUCGUUGGAAACUGGGGGACUUGAGUACAGAAGAGGAAAGCGGAAUUCCACGUGUAGCGGUGAAAUGCGUAGAGAUGUGGAGGAACACCAGUGGCGAAGGCGGCUUUCUGGUCUGUAACUGACGCUGAGGCGCGAAAGCGUGGGGAGCAAACAGGAUUAGAUACCCUGGUAGUCCACGCCGUAAACGAUGAGUGCUAAGUGUUAGGGGGUUUCCCGCCCCCUUAGUGCUGCAGCUAACGCAUUAAGCACUCCGCCUGGGGAGUACGGCCGCAAGGCUG